GACGAACGCUGGCGGCGUGCUUAACACAUGCAAGUCGAACGGAAAGGCCCCUUUGGGGGUACUCGAGUGGCGAACGGGUGAGUAACACGUGAGUAACCUGCCCUUGACUUCGGGAUAACUUCAGGAAACUGGGGCUAAUACCGGAUAGGAAUCCUUGCUGCAUGGUGGGGGUUGGAAAGCUUCGGCGGUUUUGGAUGGACUCGCGGCUUAUCAGCUUGUUGGUGGGGUAGUGGCUUACCAAGGCUUUGACGGGUAGCCGGCCUGAGAGGGCGACCGGCCACAUUGGGACUGAGAUACGGCCCAGACUCCUACGGGAGGCAGCAGUGGGGAAGAUUGCACAAUGGGCGGAAGCCGGAUGCAGCAACGCCGCGGGCGGGAUGACGGCCUUCGGGUUGUAAACCGCUUUCAGCAGGGGCGAAGCUUGUGGUGACGGUACCUGCAGAAGAAGCACCGGCUAACUACGUG
rnacentral:rRNA from 1 species